CGCGUAGGCGGUUUGUUAAGUCGGAUGUGAAAGCCCCGGGCUCAACCUGGGAAUUGCAUUCGAUACUGGCCGACUAGAGUACGAGAGAGGGAGGUAGAAUUCCACGUGUAGCGGUGAAAUGCGUAGAUAUGUGGAGGAAUACCGGUGGCGAAGGCGGCCUUCUGGCUCGAUACUGACGCUGAGGUGCGAAAGCGUGGGUAGCAAACA
rnacentral:rRNA from 1 species